rnacentral:rRNA from 1 species
AACGAACGCUGGCGGCAGGCUUAACACAUGCAGGUCGAACGGUAACGCGGGGCAACCUGGCGACGAGUGGCGAACGGGUGAGUAAUGCAUCGGAACGUGCCCGGUAGUGGGGGAUAACUGCUCGAAAGAGCAGCUAAUACCGCAUACGACCUGAGGGUGAAAGGGGGGGAUCGCAAGACCUCUCGCUAUUGGAGCGGCCGAUGUCGGAUUAGCUAGUUGGUGGGGUAAGGGCCCACCAAGGCGACGAUCCGUAGCUGGUCUGAGAGGACGACCAGCCACACUGGGACUGAGACACGGCCCAGACUCCUACGGGAGGCAGCAGUGGGGAAUUUUGGACAAUGGACGCAAGUCUGAUCCAGCCAUGCCGCGUGCGGGAAGAAGGCCUUCGGGUUGUAAACCGCUUUUGUCAGAGAAGAAAUCUUCUGGGUUAAUACCUCGGGAGGAUGACGGUAUCUGAAGAAUAAGCACCGGCUAACUACGUGCCAGCCGCCGCAGUAACAC